rnacentral:rRNA from 1 species
GGGGGGAGCAAGCGUUGUUCGGAAUCACUGGGCGUAAAGGGAGUCUAGGCGGUUUGGUAAGUGGGAUGUGAAAUGCCCGGGCUCACCCCGGGACCUGCAUCCCAGACUGCUGAGCUUGAGUACAGGAGAGGGUGGGGGAAUUCCAGGUGUAGCGGUGAAAUGCGUAGAUAUCUGGAGGAACACCGGUGGCGAAGGCGCCCACCUGGCCUGCUACUGACKCUGAAGCUCGAAAGCUAGGGGAGCAAACGGGAUUAGAUACCCCGGUAGUCCUAGCCGUAAACGGUGAUCACWASGUGUUGGGAGCAUCGACCCUUCCAGUGCCGCAGCUAACSCAUUWAGUGAUCCGCCUGGGGAGUACGGCCKCAAGGUUG